rnacentral:miRNA from 1 species
GUACUUUCCACAUUGAAGACCGAAUAUAUAUGGCGAGGACUGACAAUAUCAUUAUCAGUCAGUCCUCGCCAUAUAUAUUCGGUCUUCAAUGUGGAAAGUAC